AAAAGAAACCAACGGGAUUGCCUUAGUAGCGGCGAGUGAAGCGGCAAAAGCUCAAAUUUGAAAUCUGGCACUUUCAGUGUCCGAGUUGUAAUUUGAAGAAGGUAUCUUUGGGUCUGGCUCUUGUCUAUGUUUCUUGGAACAGAACGUCACAGAGGGUGAGAAUCCCGUGCGAUGAGAUGUCCCAGACCUAUGUAAAGUUCCUUCGAAGAGUCGAGUUGUUUGGGAAUGCAGCUCUAAGUGGGUGGUAAAUUCCAUCUAAAGCUAAAUAUUGGCGAGAGACCGAUAGCGAACAAGUACAGUGAUGGAAAGAUGAAAAGAACUUUGAAAAGAGAGUGAAAAAGUACGUGAAAUUGUUGAAAGGGAAGGGCUUGAGAUCAGACUUGGUAUUUUGUAUGUUACUCUCUCGGGGGUGGCCUCUACAGUUUACCGGGCCAGCAUCAGUUUGAGCGGUAGGAUAAGUGCAAAGAAAUGUGGCACUGCUUCGGUAGUGUGUUAUAGUCUUUGUCGAUACUGCCAGCUUAGACUGAGGACUGCGGCUUCGGCCUAGGAUGUUGGCAUAAUGAUCUUAAGUCGCCC
rnacentral:rRNA from 1 species